GAUGAACGCUGGCGGCGUGCCUAAUACAUGCCAGUCGAGCGAACAGACGAGGAGCUUGCUCCUCUGACGUUAGCGGCGGACGGGUGAGUAACACGUGGAUAACCUACCUAUAAGACUGGGAUAACUUCGGGAAACCGGAGCUAAUACCGGAUAAUAUAUUGAACCGCAUGGUUCAAUAGUGAAAGACGGUUUUGCUGUCACUUAUAGAUGGAUCCGCGCCGCAUUAGCUAGUUGGUAAGGUAACGGCUUACCAAGGCGACGAUGCGUAGCCGACCUGAGAGGGUGAUAGGCCACACUGGAACUGAGACACGGUCCAGACUACUACGGGAGGCAGCAGUAGGGAAUCUUCCGCAAUGGGCGAAAGCCUGACGGAGCAACGCUGCGUGAGUGAUGAAGGUCUUCGGAUCGUAAAACUCUGUUAUUAGGGAAGAACAAAUGUGUAAGUAACUAUGCACGUCUUGACGGUACCUAAUCAGAAAGCCACGGCUAACUACGUG
rnacentral:rRNA from 1 species